rnacentral:sRNA from 1 species
UAAACUGGAUAUCCAUCGUUCCCUGUGAC